CGGAUGCUGAAUUAGCGACAGAAAAGGAAACAUUUCUUGACUCCGUGCCUUCAGUGCUUGAAGAAAAGGACUUUACCAACUUUACUAUCAUUAUGACUGAGCCCUCCCCCCGCCUAUUCGAUUACCACCACAGUCGUUCCCAGGCUACCAUUGCUCUAAUUAGAAACACAAAUUUGGUUUGUUGGAUUUGAUCGAGAAUUGUGAAAAAAUGCCUGUUUCUUCCAAUAUCAGCAAGAAUCUUAUAAUUGAAGAAGAAGAUCUUCCUUACAAAGAGGAGAUUCUGAGAAAUCCAUAUUCUGUAAAAUGUUGGUCACGAUAUCUUUAGCACAAGAAGUCCGCACCAAAAUCUGUCUUGAAUCUUGUUUAUGAAUGAGCUUUGAAAGAGCUUGCAGGAAGCUACAAACUUUGAUAUAAUUACUUGAAAGAGUGUAGAAAGCAAGUAUGUGGAAAACCAAUCACAGAAACUUGUUUUGAAGAUGUAAACAACACCUUUGAACGUGCUCUUGUGUUCGUGUGCAAGAUCAGAAAUAACAAUGCAUUACGCAAAAACUUUUACUCAAAGAAAGAAGCUGAACUUUUAGACAAGUAGAUAUUAGAUAACCAUAUUUUUUCCAUUUGAGGCAUAAACAACUUUCUUCGUUUCAUGCAGAUGCCAAGUAUAUGGUUAGAUUAUUGCCAGUUUUUAAUGGACCAACCUCUUAUCACUCUUAUAAAAAGAACAUUUGAUCGUGCUUUGAGGGCAUUGCCAAUAAACUAAACAUUAUAGAAUAUGACCCCUUUACUUGAAGUUUGUUCGUUCUUAUCCGAUUCCUGAGACGGCCGUCGGUGUCUACAGAAGAUAUCUAAAGUUACAAUCCAACAACACUGAAGAUUAUUUAGACUAUCUCUAAAGUGUUGGAAGGUUGGACGAGGCAGCUACAAGACUGGCAACUAUUGUCAAUCAGGAUAAGUUUGUGUCAAAAGAGGGAAAAUCAAAUCAUCAGUUGUGGCACGAACUAUGUCAGCUAAUCUCCAAAAAUCCCAACAAGUAGCUUUAAUCAAAAAAGUAUUUCAUACUGAUAUACGUAUAAUAAACUUUGCUGAUAAUAAUCUCCUCAAAUGUUUGGGUUAAAAGUCUAAAAGUUGCUGAUUCGUGGUGGCUUGAGACGAUUUACAGAUAGUUUGGGUCAACUAUGGACAGACGACAGCAUCCUUUGGAAGACUUGGCAUGACUUUGAGGUAACGAAGACACUUUUCGUGAGGUAAUGAAGACACUUUUCGUGAUGGUAAGACGACUUUCAUCAUGGUAACGAAGACACUUUUCGUGAGAUGCUACGCAUUAAAAGGAGCGUACAGGCCAUGUAUAAUACGCAGGUGUUGAUGAAAUGGCAUGUGCAAUUACACACUUGUUUUUUUAAGCUAUUUAUUUGAUAAUUAUACGGACAUGCAUAUAUGCGUUCACCUAAUUUUUCUCAUUUUUUCACAUGUAGGUUAUCUUCAUGUCCGCUCAAAUGCUUGCUGCAUCUCAAGCAAUGUCUGGUGAGUUAUACGACUAUGCGAGGAAAACUUAAGUGUAUUGAAUCUACUCACAUCACACUUCUUUCCCUUUUCACCACAGCCGCUAAAUAUUUUUUGUUGACAAAUGUAGAUGUACUUAUUUACUUAUACAGAUGCAGCGACCGGUGUGUCUGCGGACGACAUGGAGAAUUUGGAAAAACAAGCUCGAGCAAUGGCUGAACAAGCGAAAAAGAAUCAAGUGAAGCCGAAACGUGAUGUUCUUUUUGUCAAGUAAUUAAUGGAUCGCGGCUUAUUGCUUUAGCAAGUACUUUUGUCUCAUGGAUUAACCUAUGCUGCUUUUAAUUGACACCCCCUGGGUGAUUUAGUUAAAAUUCACUGUACUGAGUCUUAUUUGUGUUAAUUUAAUUUGUCUUAAAGGCGAAGCAACUGAUGAGGACAAUUUAGAAGCAAGAAUAGCGAAUCCUGAAGAGAUCUCAAUUGAUGAAGACGAUGAAGACGAAGAUGCAAAGAUUGAAGAAGUUCAACUUGAACAACAAAUGGUGCCUUCAAAGGUUUUUGGAAGCCUUAUAAAAGACGACUAGAUUUCGUUGAUGGAUAAUAAGUUGUACAGUCAUGGAACAUUCUUGCUUUGGUUGCGUCUUUGGAGCUUAACUUCAUCGUUAUUUGAAAAGUUUGUUUUUCGUCAUGUAUCACUUUUUGAAGGAGGAAACUUCACCACAGUCAAGACAUUCAAAUGAGUCAGAAUGCUUUUGUAUGAUUUUGCAUUUACAUAAACCCUCGACAUUCGCUUCCGUAUUGGUGGAUAUCCAAUAACAGAUAAGGUACUUUUGGACCAAUCAAGGUAUAGUGCCAGUCUACCAAAUUUUUCUCGCGCCAAGCAAUAAAUAUGUUGUGACGCAGAAUAUGAAAUUAUAUUAUUCUGUAUUACCAUUCGAGUUACAAGGUGAUGAGACCAAUUCAUUUAAAAAUGAACAGCUUUAGAGUUUAUUACAAUGAAAGCACUUCAUUUGAAUCAAUUCUGUUUACAAAUUUUGCAAGAUUAAAUCCCAAAAAUGUGAUAACAAAAGUAAGAUGUAAUGAAUACAUUUGAUUCCAAACGGCAGUUUCAAACUUAUUGUAUGUGAUUAUGUUGUUAAUUCCAUAUAACUUGUGUGAGCAAAGUUACAGAAUCUUCCUUCGUUGUGUUAAUUUCACCCAAGUUUAACACUAGCCACAUUAAAUGUUUUGUAGUCAUCACAUUCUCUUUCAUAUUUUAGACUGAUUAAUUGGCAUCUAUAUUAGGAAAGGGAGUGUUCUUAUAACUCUUAGCACAUAAAAAUUAUAAUAUAGUGCAGGUUUAGCCAACAUAAUAAUUAUUAGCUGAAUUAGGAUAUGUAAUUUUAUCUUAGCUUACUUUUCAGUAACAUAAGUUGUGUUAUUUUAUCUUACCAACUUAACAAAUAUAAAUGAAUGAAUGAAUGA